ACACGGACGUAUAACUUUAUACAUGGUAAAUCGAUGA
rnacentral:misc_RNA from 1 species